rnacentral:lncRNA from 1 species
GAAGCAGAGUAGAGCCCCAGACUAAGGUCUGUGUUUGAGAGGCUUUGGAAGUAAUCUCUGGGGUUUGGAUUAUUUUCACAAGGGUUAUGACGUUUUAUUCAAGUUUGUUGCUCCAUUUGCACCUCUGCAAUAAAAGCAAAAUGACAACCAGUACAUAAGGGGUUAACUUGACAAAGUAGACUUCCUUGUGUUGAUUUUUAAAAGGACUGUGGGUUGUAUACAAACUAUUGCAAACACUUGUGCAAAUCUGUCUUGAUAUAAAGGAAAAGCAAAAUCUGUAUAACAUUAUUACUACUUGAAUGCCUCUGUGACUGAUUUUUUUUUUUCAUUUUAAAUAUAAACUUUUUUGUGAAAAGUAUGCUCAAUGUUUUUUUUCCCUUUCCCCAUUCCCUUGUAAAUACAUUUCGUUCUAUGUGACUUGGUUUGGAAAUAGUUAACUGGUACUGUAAUUUGCAUUAAAUAAAAAGUAGGUUAGCCUGGAAAUGAAAUUAAAAUUCACAAGUGUGUGGUCUUUAUUUCAGUACCCAACCUUAUUUCCUUCACCCUAUCUAUUUUGCCAAUGCAUUAUGUAGUCACAUCACCACUUCAUUCCUCCAAUUAGAGAAACACGAAGCUGUUAACAAAAGUCAAGAUAUGAACACUAGUUCUCGUUCUCUUAAAUGAUCUUAUUCCAUUGUAUAGCCCCAAGAGGUGCAGCUUCCAUCUUGGAAACCUUUGGAGUUGAUAUCGAGGAAGCUAUGCAAACAUUGCUUUGAAUAGAAAGAAUACAAGCCUGAAAGGGACAAAUUUUUAAAAAUGUGUAUAAGCUUCUGUCUUUGAUUCCUGUGUUCAUGGUCUGGUGUAGAAAAAGAAACAUUUUUUUAGGGCUGGCUCACUCCGUCAGGCCUAAUCUAAAGGCUAGAUAUAAAGUCAUGUGACUGCUGCUUCAAUAAAAACAAAUUUAUAUUGGAUAAA